rnacentral:rRNA from 1 species
UACAGAGGUCUCAAGCGUUGUUCGGAUUUAUUGGGCGUAAAGGGCGCGUAGGCGGCGGGGUAAGUCGGGUGUGAAAUCUCAGGGCUCAACCCUGAAACUGCACUUGAUACUGCUCUGCUUGAGGACUGGAGAGGAGACUGGAAUUUACGGUGUAGCGGUGAAAUGCGUAGAUAUCGUAAGGAAGACCAGUGGCGAAGGCGGGUCUCUGGACAGUUCCUGACGCUGAGGCACGAAGGUCAGGGGAGCAAACGGG